UAAACAUUGACGCCACCAGAUGGCAGUGUUUCUUUUUUGGCGCGUAACCACAUGCGGAAGUGGUGGUUAUAGAACAUAGUUGUGAGAAACACCGUUUUUCAACAACACGGUUGUUUCGGACAUUGUGGACUUUUCUUGAAUGGAAAUAAGUUGUAAAGUGGGACAUUGGCAAUAAGAUAUAAGAUCAGGGGUCACCAACCCUUUUGAAACGGAGAGCUACUUCAAGGGCACUUAAUAAUGCGAAGAGCUACUUGUUUGACACAGUCUUCCUGAACAGAGGCUACUAGGUGCCCCUGGGCACCAUGUUGGUGACCCCUGUCCUAGAUGAUGAUGUCACCACUGUGUUGGCGUAGAUGAUUUGCUCGCUCUGGUCUAAGCUGCAGACAGCAGGAGAAGGAGGAGUCAGAUAUUCAUUUCCCCCCAAGGAUAAUUCCUGCAGGCAGCGAGACAUCAAUUAGAAAUUGACAGGUGCGAGUGGCAGAAGUUCCUGGUGCUGCUGCUGUUCUGUCUCUCCAGGAAAUACUUCUGUGCUCGUUUCCUGUCUCUCUCUGCCCGCCUUUCCAGUGCAUUAUGGGAAGUGCAGAGGCCGUCCAUCAGCCUCAUCAUUAGGUCAGAGAUCCUAGAGCUAAUCGCCACAAUGUCUGGUCGCUGCUCAGCAUCUGGGCUCAAACACCUGAAUGGAGCACGGGUUGCAGUAUAUAAUUUACGCACCAGGAGUAAAGGAUCGUUCCAACCACUGAGGUCAGUUUGCUGUUUUCCUGCUUCUGCUUUGCCAGACCAAAGUCAGCUUCAGGCAGAGGAAAGGGAAAAGGGUCAUAAAGAAAGAAACAUUCAGUUGGACAUGACACGCUGUGAUCUCAUCAAAAGAUACUGCUACUGCUAGAAUCAUACGUGUUAAAGUAAGAGAGUUAAAGUGUUCGGCCAACGGUACACCUUCAAUUAGCUCCAUCACAAUGUACAGCUGAUCACCUUUUGAAGUAGAUGUAAUGACCGUUACCAUUUCCUAACAAUUCCUAACAAAGAGCCUGAAUGUUGUCCACUUCCUCCUGAGGGCUGAGUUCCUCUCUGAUGUGUUCUCUCUGGAUGCGACCUGCGGCGUUAGCACUGGAGAGAGUCUCUAUUGAGCAGCUGUCGUCAGAUUACUCACAGGUCAGCGUGACCAGUCUCUCUGCCAUAGAAAAGGCUUGGUCUCCUCUGGAUGUGUAUGUGGCAGUGACGGAUGCCAUGUACUGUGGGAGAGGAAGAGGGACAACAUGUGACACAGUAUAUGUGGAGAAAAGGCACUAAUGCAGCAUGUUCAGGAAACAGUGAAACUUUACCCUGCUCAGUAAACUGAUGCCCUGCAGCUGAUGGAGGAGUUUCUAAAAAAGGGAAGCAGGAAAUAGAAAUGGUAAGUGUUAAGACUGUGCUAUUGGAGAAAAACUAUAAAUGUAUAUACAGUAUAUAUGUAUCUAUAUAUAGAUAUACAGAUACAUAUAUAGUGUUAAGACUGCUAUUGAAGAGAAACAAUAAAUAUAUAUACAGUAUAUAUGUAUAUAUAUACAUAUAUACAUGCAUAUAUAUAUACAUAUAUAGUGUUAAGACUGCUAUUGGAGAGAAACAGUAAAUGUAUAUAUAUAUACAGUAUAUAUGUAUAUAUAUACAUAUAUACAUA